rnacentral:rRNA from 1 species
ACUCAAAGGAAUUGACGGGGACCCGCACAAGCGGUGGAGCAUGUGGUUUAAUUCGAAGCAACGCGAAGAACCUUACCAAGGGCUUGUAUCUAGUGCAAAACUGUAGAAAUACAGCGGAGGUUAACACUAUGACAGGUGGUGCAUGGUCGCCGUCAGUUCGUGUCGUGAGAUGUUUGGUUAAGUCCUGUAACGAACGCAACCCUUAUCUUUAGUUACUACCAUUAAGUUGAGGACUCUAAAGAAACUGCCAGUGUAAACUGGAGGAAGGCGAGGACUGCGACUGAUCCUCAUGCCCUUUAUGCCCUGGGCUACACACGUGCUACAAUGGUCAAUACAAAGAGUAGCAAAACAGCGAUGUCAAGCAAAUCUCAAAAAAUUGAUCUAAGUUCGGAUUGGAGUCUGCAACUCGACUCCAUGAAGUCGGAAUCGCUAGUAAUCGUGAAUAAGUAACGUCACGGUGAAUAUGUUCUCGGGUCUUGUACACACCGCCCGU